UACGUAGGGAGCAAGCGUUGUCCGGAAUCAUUGGGCGUAAAGCGCGCGUAGGUGGCCCGGUAAGUCCGCUCUGAAAGUCACAGGCUCAACCUGUGAAAGCGGGUGGAUACUGCCGGGCUAGAGUCCGGAAGAGGCGAGUGGAAUUCCUGGUGUAGCGGUGAAAUGCGCAGAUAUCAGGAGGAACACCAAUGGCGAAGGCAGCUCGCUGGGACGUGACUGACGCUGAGACGCGAAAGCGUGGGGAGCAAACAGG
rnacentral:rRNA from 1 species